rnacentral:tRNA from 2 species
GCAUUGGUGAUUCAAUGGUAGAAUUCUUGCCUUCUAUGCAGAAGACCCAGGUUUGAUUCCCGGCCAGUGCA